CAAGAUAUAGCUUAAAAAGUAGUUUAUUUACAUUAAACAGAUCCUACACUGGUAUCUUAA
rnacentral:tRNA from 1 species